rnacentral:rRNA from 1 species
GACGAACGCUGGCGGCGUGCUUAACACAUGCAAGUCGAACGGAAAGGCCCUGCUUUUGUGGGGUGCUCGAGUUGCGAACGGGUGAGUAACCCGUGAGUAACCUGCCCUUGACUUUGGGAUAACUUCAGGACACUGGGGCUAAUACCGGAUAGGAGCUCUUGCCGCAUGGUGGGGGUUGGAAAGUUUCGGCGGUUGGUGAUGGACUCGCGGCCUAUCAGCUUGUUGGUGGGGUAGUGGCUUACCAAGGCUUUGACCGGUAGCCGGCCUGAGAGGGUGACCGGCCACAUUGGGACGGAGAUGCGGCCCAGACUCCUACGGGAGGCAGCAGAGGGGAAUAGUGCACAAUGGGCGGAAGCCUGAUGCAGCAACGCCGCGUGCGGGAUGACGGCCUUCGGGUUGUAAACCGCUUUCGCCUGUGACGAAGCGUGAGUGACGGUAAUGGGUAAAGAAGCACCGGCUAACUACGUG